AACAUCGCCUCCUGCAAAGAUCAACGUAUAGGAGGUCCUGCCUGCCCAGUGACAACUAGUUAAACGGCCGCGGUAUUUUGACCGUGCUAAGGUAGCGCAAUCACUUGUCUUUUAAAUGAAGACCUGUAUGAAUGGUGGAACGAGGGCUUAACUGUCUCCCUUCUCCGGUCAAUGAAAUUGAUCUGCCCGUGCAGAAGCGGACAUACAUAUACAAGACGAGAAGACCCUUUGGAGCUUAUUGGGGCGACCGCGGGGGAAAAUAGAGCCCCCAUGUACAACCAAGAGAGACAUCUCUAAGCUACAGAACAUCUGACCAAAAGAUCCGGCAUACAAGCCGAUCAACGAACCAAGUUACCCUAGGGAUAACAGCGCAAUCCCCUCCAAGAGUUCAUAUCGACGAGAGGGUUUACGACCUCGAUGUUGGAUCAGGACAUCCUAAUGGUGCAGCCGCUAUUAAGGGUUCGUUUGUUCAACGAUUAAAGUCCUACGUGAUCU
rnacentral:rRNA from 1 species